GCUGGCUUACUCCCGGGCCCUGAGAGCUGAGGGGGCAGAGUUUUCUAGCUUCCUUCACAUUCCUUCUUAGUGAUAGGAUUUAAGCCCCUCUCUCAGCUUUUUUGACUGUAAAAUCUGCAUUUCAAGCUUAACUUGCUUGGUUUGAAUUAUGGGAGUUUCUUUUUCCUGAAGAAGUCACUUCAGCGUCAGGAUAGCUGAGUUCAGAGCAAUUUGGACGCUAGCCUUGAACUCACUGUGGAGCCCAGGCUGGCCUUGAACAUGGCAGUCCUCCUGUCUCUGCAUCCUGACUGCUGGGAUUACAGGUCUGUGCCACCAUACCCAGUGUACAUCUUGGAGACAAUACCAGAAGAGGGGCCCAAUUCCAAGUACAGCUCCUAAGAGUGAGUUCUUGGGAGUGUGUUGAAAUUGGGAUAGGUAUGUGUUGAUCUUGCAUAGGUCCAUUGAAUCAAGGUGGGAUCUUUGAUGAUCCUUGGCCGUUAAGUUCCUUGUGCUGAUGCAGAUACUCCCAUUUAAGUGGGGCUCUAAUGGCCACCUGCUGGGCUUAUACUUUCUGGGCUUCUGGAGACAUGUAGUAGGCUGGGUUGAGGUUGGUGGGCAGAGUGGCCAGGCACAAUGCUUAUACUUUGGGAACAACAUUUUGGCUCUUGGCG
rnacentral:lncRNA from 1 species